rnacentral:misc_RNA from 1 species
ACAUCUCAACUCUCAUGGUUUGCCAUGAUGAGCUUGGACUUUGGGGGUCUUGCUGGUCUAUGGCCAGCUCCUCUCAAAUGGAUCAGCUUGCCAGUGUUUGGUGGCAUCGCAGGUGUGAUAACUAUCUACGCUUGUGGUUUUCCACCAGAUAACCUUCAGCAAUGGAGGUUCGCUGGAGCUCAUAAAUGUCUUUCCUCAGUGAAGACAGAUCUUUGAUU